CUGUGGAGUUCUUCAUUCCCACAUCUGUGGACCUUAAAAUCCUACGGUUGAGUGCCUGCCUUGGAUCAGCAGUCGGUUCGUUACCUUGGUUCUCAGACGAUGCUUGCAACAACGCCAUGCGAUUCGCCCACUCUUGGAGAAAAUAAGAGAAGUAUCCCUGAAGGAUGAAAUAUCCUCAAAUAUGAAAAGGUCUGCUCUCUGAAGACCAACUGUCUCAGUCUGCUUUUUGCUGCUGUAACAGAAUACCACAGACUUGGCAGAGAAGCCUUCAGAGAAGGAUCCUGACUCGGUGGUUUGUGCAGUGACAUUUGGCAGUGUUUGCUCGGCAAGAGAGCCUUUGAGGCUGCCCUCAUGCUGCUCAGUGGGCACACCAAGAACAAGAGCUGGCCAGGGAUGACGGACGCAUCUAGGCCUUCUCGGCCUAAGGGCAAGUCCCAUUCUUCCUUGAUAGGUCUUUAGAUGUACCAGUCAGCAAAUGUCAUCCCCCUCUGCAUUC
rnacentral:lncRNA from 1 species